GUCACGUCUUGCCGUGAUACCGGGUUGCCUCUUCCUCCUCUUCCUCUUCUCCUCCAUUAUAUAAGCUACAUCAACACAUGUAUCUGGUUUCUAUGUGUUAUCAGUGGGCAGAUUGGACAUGCUGAUGAAAGCAGAGUGAAGUCAACACACUGGGAUAAUAACACGUUUUCAUUGAUGUUUCAUUAAGAAAUACCACAAGAAAGAAGAAGAACUGUAGGAAUAAAAUAACUUCUGUCUUUAUUUCUUCUCCUUUUACAGGCGCCACUUCAGGCACCAUCAUCCUUUCUCCUCCAGACCUAAAUCCUGUCCUGAGGAGGAAAGAGCAGUUUCUCCUGCAUCGAGCUCUGGGUCCAUGAAGAGUGCUCGCUCCAUGGAUUUCCCCAUGGAUUUCAAAAGGGAGUACCUCUUGGUCGGUGUUCGUACAUCUAACCUCUUCUCCAGUGAACGCAGCAUUGGCUUCAGUGCUGAGGAGGAAAGAGCAGGUUCUCCUACAUCGAGCUGUGGGUCCAUGAAGAGUGACGACUCCAAGGAUUUCCCUGUUUCUAACGAGAUCCAGGGAUAGAUGCAGGACCCUGGACGGACCUGGAGAGACCUGGAGAGACCUGGAGAGACCUGGAGAGACCUGGACUCCAUGGUCUCGGUGCGUUCUAGUAGUGUUGUUGCCUCACAGAAGCAGAGCAGUGAACUUCAGUGGUAGCAGCGAAAAUGAUUGUUACAGGUUACAGUUGUUAGCUAAUGUGACUUUUAGUUCAUAAGUAAAUGAAUCUUAAUAAAUGUGUACACCUGUCUAUAAAGGCAGCUAGUUUAAGGGAUUUAAAGCUAUAUUUAAAAUUUGUAUUCUUUCCAUUUCCGUCAGAGCCCUUUCAGACGGGGAUCUGAAGCCGUUAUCCAUGCUCUCUUCAGGGUUCCCACGGGUGCUGGAAAUCCUUGAAAAUGCUUGAAAUUGUACGAGGUGUUUUCAAGGUUUGAAAAGUGCUUGAAUUUUGGGAAUGGUGCUUGA